ensembl:misc_RNA Y_RNA Y RNA
AAAUGUUCAAGGCAGGUUUAUAGCUUAUCACAACCAGUUACAAAUUUAUUUGUUCCUUCUCCAUUCCCACUAUUUCACCUGACUGGUCUUAA